GUCAUCGAGGACAACGAGAUGGUGACUCUGAUCCUCGCCGGAUUGGACUUCGACUACAAUCCGCUUGUUCAAUCUGUCGUGAGCAGGCCCACUCCAAUCUCGGUGAGCGAACUCUAUUCUCAGAUGCUUGCCUAUGACU